rnacentral:rRNA from 1 species
AGAGCGAACGCUGGCGGCGUGCUUAACACAUGCAAGUCGAGUGCGCGCCUGUAGCAAUACAGGUGGCGCACGGCGCACGGGUGCGUAACACGUGGGUAAUCUGCCCUUCGAUGGGGAUAACCUCGCGAAAGCGAGGCUAAUUCCGCAUAACAUUCCGAUGGUUCCGAUCAAUGGACUCAAAGCCGUAAGGCGUCGGAGGAGGAGCCCGCGCACGAUUAGCUAGUUGGUGAGGUAACGGCUCACCAAGGCUUUGAUCGUUAGCUGGUCUGAGAGGAUGGCCAGCCACACUGGAACUGAGACACGGUCCAGACUCCUACGGGAGGCAGCAGUGGGGAAUCUUGCACAAUGGGCGAAAGCCUGAUGCAGCGACGCCGCGUGGAGGAUGGAAGGUCUUCGGAUUGUAAACUCCUGUCAUUUGGGAACAAGUUGCUAUUGGUUAACUGCCGAUGCAUUGAUAGUACCAGAAGAGGAAGA